AUGGUGUACAUUGUUGCUUUGGAC
rnacentral:siRNA from 1 species